AUUCAAAAGUGAUUUUUGUUUGCUGGAGAUCCUUUGAUAUAUCUACAUUAUCAUGGAGCCCAAACACUUCUGGUUGCUGACUAACAGGAAGAUUCUAGGAAGAAAGUUACCUGCUCCUUUCCAGGACACCCAGCAAAAAAGUCGGGAUCAGAAAGCGGAUCAGAGACGAAAGACUGAAGUAAAUUCAGCCGGAGGCCAGUAGGAGGUUCAUUUGUCAUCUUCACACCGUUCUGAAGAAUGGUGACUGGAAACUAGGCAAAGUCUGCAAAUCCCAAACUGUGGGCCAUGGGUCCUAGCGCAUCACAGCACAUAGUGUGAGAACUGCUAGAAGCCCUGUGAAUCAGGAAAAUUUGGGAACCUCUACAUUAGGUUUAUAAUUUGUAACACUUACUCUGAUAAACCUUUGUUUUUGCAUUUUGGUCAAGUAUGUCAUCUCCUGCUUCUGUGACGAUCUUGUACCUCGUGACAAUUCCUCUUCCAUUCAAUUAAUCCCUGGCACAUCUUUGCCUUGUCUUACCUCCAUCCAAAUAAAAUAAACCUUUGUACUUAUUUAGAUUUGUCUUGCUAACACUAUUGGUCCCUUCUUGGAUUUAAUUGCCUUCUACUCACACCAUGGGAAUAUCUGCAUUGAAGAUAUUGCAACACAUUGCAACACAUGCAAUCCCCAUGUGUUCAAAUUUCAGAGGGCAAAUGUUGGGGACCAUUAAAGCUAGGAAUUAGAGUUAUCAGAGAUGUCUGUUAAUGUUAUUUUAACACCAAUUUCUUUUUUUUUAUUCACACAUUAUUAAAACUCACUUUACUGCCUUUUGAAUAAUGUUGAAGCCUAGUAUAGAAACCCAAUGGUUUCAUCUCUUUAGCUAGUAUACAUACAAUUUCUUUCAAAGUUUAUGUCUACAUACAGGGGAGAAAAAGCAUCCUGAGCUAUUCUGAUUGAAGUGACUCUGCUCUUCUGCCUCUUUGGAACCAAUAGAUUAUAUACUUACUAGUCUAUGCUUAGCCCAUAAUUUCAUAUCUUUUUAGCACAGACUUUUCUGUAACCUGAUACAAAAACUGAACAAAUUGAAGAAACAAUAAAAGCUGAAUGGAAGGGAAGAAUUGUAUAGAAGCCAGAACAAUUGCACCUAUCAAAGUCCUACUUAUAAUGGACAUUCUA